rnacentral:rRNA from 1 species
CAGUCGCCGCGGGAAUACGGAGGGUGCGAGCGUUAAUCGGAAUUACUGGGCGUAAAGCGCGCGUAGGCGGCUUGGUAAGUCGAUUGUGAAAGCCCCGGGCUCAACCUGGGAAUUGCAGUCGAGACUGGACGGCUAGAGUGUGUCAGAGGAUGGUGGAAUUCCCGGUGUAGCGGUGAAAUGCGUAGAUAUCGGAAGGAACACCUGUGGCGAGAGCGGCUCACUGGACAAUUACUGACGCUGAUGCACGAAAGCUAGGAGAGCAAACAGGAUUAGAUACCCGCGUAGUCCCUGUCUCUUAUAC